CUAACGACGAUAUGCUUUGGGGAGCUGUAAGUAAGCUUUGAUCCAGAGAUUUCCGAAUGGGGAAACCCAGCAUGAGUUAUGUCAUGUUAUCGAUAUGUGAAUACAUAGCAUAUCAGAAGGCACACCCGGAGAACUGAAACAUCUUAGUACCCGGAGGAAGAGAAAGAAAAUUCGAUUCCCUUAGUAGCGGCGAGCGAAACGGGAAGAGCCCAAACCAACAAGCUUGCUUGUUGGGGUUGUAGGACACUCUAUACGGAGUUACAAAGGACGACAUUAGACGAAUCAUCUGGAAAGAUGAAUCAAAGAAGGUAAUAAUCCUGUAGUCGA
rnacentral:rRNA from 1 species